rnacentral:rRNA from 1 species
UACGGGGGGGGCAAGCGUUGUUCGGAAUUACUGGGCGUAAAGGGCUCGUAGGUGGCCAACUAAGUCAGACGUGAAAUCCCUCGGCUUAACCGGGGAACUGCGUCUGAUACUGGAUGGCUAGAGUUUGGGAGAGGGAUGCGGAAUUCCAGGUGUAGCGGUGAAAUGCGUAGAUAUCUGGAGGAACACCGGUGGCGAAGGCGGCAUCCUGGACCGAGAUUGACGCUGAGGCGCGAAAGCGUGGGGAGCAAACAGG